CUGGACCUUUAUGGAGUUUGCCACUUCUCCUUGCUAUCCUUAACUGUAUUUGGAGUGAAUUUCCUCUCAUGGUUUCUGUUGGUGCAGAGAAAUGGUUAAUGAGAAGGUUAAUCAGAGUCAUAACUAUAACUUCAUAUAAGGGAACAAAGCCAUUCAGGAAUGUGAGGAUGAAUGUGGAGGAGAGAACAGAAGGGAUACUUUGAAAUGGCUCUUGGGACAAUUCUCAGCCUGAUCCUGAUUGGAUGCUGGCCCAAUUCUGCAAAUUUUGAGGAACACAACAAAUUUCAAAAGGCAUGUUGUGACUUGGACUGGCUUGCAUAAGAGAGUUAUGUUGAAGCAGUUAUCUCUGAAGGAG
rnacentral:lncRNA from 1 species